GACAGAGCCAGCUGCUAGGCGGAAAGGACUUGGAAAAGAGGCUGUGUACUGUAUGAUGAGAUAUGGUAUUGAAGAGCUGAAACUUACACAUAUCACUGCCAAGAUUGGAUACAGCAACAAACCCAGCAUAAAAAUGUUUAUGAACAUAGGUUUUCAAGAGAUUUCCAGGAGUGAUGUUUUUGAAGAAAUAACCUUUAAAUUAAAUCUUACUGAAGACAGAAAGGAAAGAAUUAAAGCUUGUAGUGCUCCAUACAGGAUUGACAGAUAUAGAUAGCACUAUGUUGAAAUUAUUAUCACUAUGGUAACAGAUUCAAACAGCCUGACAGUUGCAGAAUGAAUCAAUGAUACAUUUACAGUUUAGCUUAAUACAUAAAAGUUUAUUCAUUGAAAAUCUGUGAUAACUGUGAAGUUUUCUAAGACAAUAAUCUUUACGAUCAUUGUAGUUUGACAAAUUUGAAUGCCACGUAGAAAUCUUGGAAAAUCUAACAUUUGGCCUGCUAAAUUUCUAAAAUGGAAUGGUCCAUCAUUUAAUUUUGGCAAUACCAUUUAUUAUUUAAAGGGGUGUUCACUGAAAAUUUACUGAUUGAAUAGCAAAGAGUGUAUAAUAACCAUGAACCAUGAUCAGCCUGCAUGUCCGUGGCAGAAUCACUUUACACCAGCAGGGUAAAGGGUAAUACCAAUAAGACCCUUAACGAUCAUUUGGUGCAGAUGAAAUUGAAACAAAGUGUAUUUAUACAUUUUGAAGAAUCAUGGUAUUUGUAGUAUUUAUUUAAGCUAUGAAUAGUAACUAGGAAAAAAGGCAUUUCAGAUUCUUAAUCUAAUUGAUUGUGUAUUAUUGUCUGACAGGACUUGGUCAAACAAUUCUGACCUGCUUUGUGAAGAAUGUUAGCCCAGUCUUUUAUUUCAUAUGGUUCAUUUUAACUUGAAUAAGAAUCAUAUUAUUAUGUUGUUUAUGUACAAAAUAGUGAUAAAUUUGGACGAAUACCAGUUGGAAAAAUC